rnacentral:lncRNA from 1 species
UGGAAGAUUCUAUAUGUCUUUUGCAAACCCUUGGAAGAAGCACAAAUAACCAGCCCACAUUAAUUCAUCAUAUAUUGAAUUAACCGGCAUCUCAACUCUAAACUAGUUGCAUAUAAAGCUCUCUCUCUUCUCCAUCUCAUCAAAGCUACUUCACAAGAAAAAUGAUGAGGACCAGUUCCAUUCCCUUUGCUUAGUUCUUUUGCCGCCACCCCACCAUGGCACUGAUGAGGUCCCUCGCUCAGCGGGUCGGCGAUUGAGCCGGUGUCGUGGUGGCGGUGGCCGUGGCUGAAUAAUCUAUGAGGUUAUGGAUUUGUUACAAUGGGAGAAAUGGGAAUAUUUUGUGAUGCAAUGAAGGGUUAAUUAAUUAUCUCUUGAUUCUAGAAGAAGAUCAAAGCCGGUUUCUCUCACAGGGCAACUUCUAUCCUUUGGCAUAAUUAACUUUUACUUUCUGCGAAUCUCUCCAGGCAUCAAUGAGGGAUGAUAAUAAUUGUGGAACUAUGUAUGUAUCAUAUAUAUGUGGCUGGAGCUAGCUAGAGAGAUUCUAUAUGCAUGUCCUUGCUUUUGGUUUUGUUCUGUUGGUUCAUCAAAGCCUUAUUAUGUAUGAAAUAAUUCAUCAGUGGAGUUUCUAUUUCUGAUAUCAUAUAUUCUCAAGUCAUGAUUAAUGUACUAGAAUCAUUCACAUCAUCUAAACCCAUCUAUCUUUGUAAGAACUUCUGAUUAUUGAUCUGGUUUUUGUUGUAUGAUUAAUUCUAGCUUAUGAUUUAUGAAAUAAUCGAUCGGUAUUUAUGCUUUUUGCUUUGGUUGGUUUUGUGAUGGUGUAUGUUCUUUUACUAAUCAUGAAGAAUCUAUCAGAAAUUGCCAUUUGCUGUAUUUGCAAUAUUUUCAAGUGUAUUAAUUCAAGAAAGAUUGUAUUUGUCGUUUGUUAAUUUUCUUUAUUAAUUCAAGCUUCUGCCUCAUGAUGUAUGAAAUAAGCAGCAGCGUAUUAGUGGUGAAGCUAAUAACUUAUU